rnacentral:rRNA from 1 species
AUUGAACGCUGGCGGCAUGCCUUACACAUGCAAGUCGAACGGCAGCACGGGUGCUUGCACCUGGUGGCGAGUGGCGAACGGGUGAGUAAUACAUCGGAACGUACCUUGUCGUGGGGGAUAACGCAGCGAAAGCUGUGCUAAUACCGCAUACGCCCUGAGGGGGAAAGCGGGGGAUCGAAAGACCUCGCGCGAUUAGAGCGGCCGAUGCCUGAUUAGCUUGUUGGUGGGGUAAAAGCGCACCAAGGCGACGAUCAGUAGCUGGUCUGAGAGGACGAUCAGCCACACUGGGACUGAGACACGGCCCAGACUCCUACGGGAGGCAGCAGUGGGGAAUUUUGGACAAUGGGGGCAACCCUGAUCCAGCAAUGCCGCGUGAGUGAAGAAGGCCUUCGGGUUGUAAAGCUCUUUUGUCAGGGAAGAAACACCGGCUCUAACACAGUCCGGGAAUGACGGUACCUGAAGAAUAAGCACCGGCUAACUACGUGCCAGCCGCCGCUGUAA